GGGUUGCGGGUCAUUAGCUAGUUGGUAAGGUAACGGCUUACCAAGGCGACGAGGGAGCUGAGAGGCUGGUCCCCCACACGGGCACUGAGAUACGGCCCUCCUACGGGAGGCAGCAGUAGGGAAUAUUGGGCAAUGGGCGAGGCCCCCAGCCAUGCCGCGUGCAGGAAGAAGGCUUUCUGAGUCGUAACUGUUGACAGGGAAGAAUAAGGACUACGUGUAGUCUGAUGACGGUACUGAAUAAGCACCGGCUAACUCCGUGCCAGCAGCCGCGGUAAUACGAGGCGAGCGUUGUCCGGAUUUAUUGGGUUUAAAGGGUGCGUAGGCGGCUAAGUCCGGGGUGAAAGCCCGUUGCUCAACAACGGAACUGCCCUGAUGGAAGGCUUGAGUACAGACG
rnacentral:rRNA from 1 species